GACAUUAGUAAAAUGAAAAUACACCACCUUGUCAAGGUGGAAUUGUGAGUUAAACCCUCACAUGUCUUA
rnacentral:tRNA from 1 species